CCUACGGGAGGCAGCAGUGAGGAAUAUUGGUCAAUGGACGAGAGUCUGAACCAGCCAAGUAGCGUGAAGGAUGACUGCCCUAUGGGUUGUAAACUUCUUUUAUAUGGGAAUAAAAUGUUCCACGUGUGGGAUUUUGUAUGUACCAUAUGAAUAAGGAAUGGCUAACUCCGUGCCAGCAGCCGCGGUAAUACGGAGGAUCCGAGCGUUAUCCGGAUUUAUUGGGUUUAAAGGGAGCGUAGGUGGAUUGUUAAGUCAGUUGUGAAAGUUUGCGGUUCAACCGUAAAAUUGCAGUUGAAACUGGCAGUCUUGAGUACAGUAGAGGUGGGCGGAAUUCGUGGUGUAGCGGUGAAAUGCUUAGAUAUCACGAAGAACUCCGAUUGCGAAGGCAGUUCACUGGACUGCAACUGACACUGAGGCUCGAAAGUGUGGGUAUCAAACAGGAUUAGAUACCCUAGUAGUC
rnacentral:rRNA from 1 species